UAAUUUUUGUGCUUCUUCAAGCUUCAAACAUGGCAAAUUUGCUUGAGUCUAUGUUCUGCGGCCAACACCAUUUGAGUCACAUCCAGAUUCAUUUAAAUCUGAGGGAAUAAACUAAAUCAAAAGCUACACCGCUAGGCUAUUUACAAAACAAAUGUCUUUAGGCUAUAUAUCGAAAACACAAAUUAUUUUACGCAACUACGAACACACACGUUAACAUGUUAACAAUGAUGCAGCUUUGGCAAAUUCCUGAGUUUGCAGUGACUGAAAUGCCAGCAGGACUGAUCUGCAAAAGCACUUCACUGUAGCGCGUAUCUGCUCGAGAGCUCCACAGUCUUUUAGAUUCUUGGCAUCUGAUGAUGUGAUGUACUAAACAUACUAACCACAACGGUGUCAUCAUACAGUACAGGGAACUGCCAAGGCUGAUCACAUUGGUGUUAUCAUACACGUCAAAGGGUAAAAAAAAGUGUUCAUAUAUUUUUAACUAUUGUUCAGUGAUUCCUCCGCGUACCACUAAAAGAAAGCCCACGUACCACACUUUGAGAACCACUGGUAUAGAUAGUAGGCCUUGUCUGUGUCAGGUUUUUCCUUUUUUAGGUAAUGGAGAGCAGGCAGAAGAAGGAGACUCACAAGAGCAUUGGUGGACAUUUAUCUAAAUGCUGGAGAAGAGCACAUGGGGUUUUGUUGGGGCUGUCUUUGUUUUUUGUAGGUUGGAGUGGAGCAGAAGAAGGAGACUCACAAGGGGAACGGUGGAGAUAUACUUGAAGACCUGGAGCUCAGGAAAUUGUCACAGAGCAUGUGGAGAAACAGGAUAACACACAGAUGAGUGCAUGGAGGUGGAGGAAGGAGGUGGUGGUGGGCAUAGAUUGUUGAAUAGAUGUCUUGUCUGUGGCAGUUAUUUACAUUGUAGGUAAUGGAACCACAACAGACAGAAGAGGGAGACUCACAAGCACAAUGAUUAGACUGGGGCAUGUGGAGAAAUGGGAAUCACACCUCAGCAAUGACUGCAAACUGAUGGUCUGGUUAGGUAUUUUUUGGAUGGAUGGAUAAAGUAUUGAAUGGAUGGAUGGCUGGUCAGGUGGUAAAUAGAUGUCCUUCCAAGAGGAAGGGGGUGGAGGUGGGCAUAGAUAGUUAGAUAGAUGUCUUCUUUGUGGCAGAUAUUUAAACUGUAGUUAAUGAACACACAACAAGCAGAAAAGGGAGACUCACAAGAGCAUCUGGAGCAGGAGACUCACCAGGGGUGUCGCUGGACCCCAUUAAGGGGGCACGUACCCCAGUAAAUGGGGCAAUGUAGUAAAUAAAGCAACGUAGUUUAAUCGAAAACAAACUGACGCAUAUGUGCAGAAAACCAUUCUUGUGCGCCUCACGCACCACUGCUUCUGCUCCGGGUGUGAAUCCCGGUUGUUUAACACACAUGCUGAAAAUAACAUGCGCCACUCGUAUAUUGUGAAACCGGCGUAACAGCCUUUAAUGCAGUGAUGUUGGCACUCAGUAAGUUUUGGAAGUCGGCAGAACUAAUGUUUCAGUAAUAUGAUGAUAAUGUUUUGACUAAACAUGGCUCCUGUAAGAUGAUUUUCUGUAUGAAGCACAAAGGAGAGAUGAUGAGUCAGGGAAGUUAGGCUUAGUAACAUUAUUUCUCAGCCAUCAGAGUCAGGUCUCAGACAAAAAAAUAAUUCUAUACAUGUUUGAUUUGUGUUCUCUAGAAUUCUCAUAUGUUAUUAAAAUUCAUGGAAAAUAUUUUUUUAGGAGAUCUUAUAUCACUCCAGUUGUGUUUUUACAUUGGAUUGAUUUCUGUUAUUUAUUUAGAAUCAUAUUCGUAUAAUAAUUAUACUUUUAUUUAUUUGUAAUAUAAUUUUAAGUUAAAAUAUUAAGUGUAGCUAUUUAUAUGUGGGUAAAUAAUUUGCGUUGCGGUUGAGGGGGGCCAGUGCCCCAGUAGAGCUUUAUGUCUAGCAACACCCCUGAGACUCUCAAGAGGAACAUUGGAGAUAUACUGGAAGACCUGGAGCUCAGGAAACAGAUUGGCACGGAGCAUGUAGAGGAACAGAGAAACAGACAACUGUAAUGAAAAGUACAUCGUAAUAAAUUAGAGCGAGUGUCAGAAGAGACUGGAUUCAGGGGAGUUAUAUGAACACUGUUUAUUUACAGGAUGGCAGGCUUGGAGACUGGAGACGGAUACCAAAGAUGACAAACAGGAUGAAGACCAGACGAGAAACCAGGAGACAUCACACUAGGAAAGACAUGGAAGACACAGGAGAUGCAAGUGAAUCGAUAUCUUAAGAAUCAACACUGACGGUGUAUAGGGAGUUCAGUCCUUUCUUUACUAGCGAAGAGGCUAGUGGUUAGUGUUACUACAGAACCAGACUGGAGACAAUGGUAGAUGGAACUUCCAAAGAAAGGAAUCAAGAUUAAUUAAUGGACUUGAUAUCUUUCUAUUGUAUUUUGCUGAUUGGAAUGGACCACAUGGAGAAAAAGGGAAUCACACACCUCAGCAACGACUGGAUGGUCAGGAAUUUAUUUUUUUUUAAAUCAGAUGGACGGGUGAAUCGAUAAACGUCCUUCCAACAUACAGGAGUGGUGGUUGGGAAUAGGUAGUAAUUUGGCCUUGUCUGUGUCAGGUUUUUCUUUUUCAGGUAAUGGAGAGAGAGCAGGCAGAAAAGAGAGACUCAUAAGAGCAUAUGUGGACAUUUAUCUAAAAAAUACUGGAGAACAGCUGGUGGGGCUCUGUCAGUGCUGUCUGUAGGUGCGUCUCAAAUCGCAUAUUUUUACACUAUUCUUUGCUAUUUUGUAGUAAAUAU